UCCCGGAGGUGUGGGCCGGGCGCUCGGGUCCUGUGGCAGAGCCCAGAGGCACCUGUAGAGACCGAGGCGUGUCGUGAAAGCUGAUGCCUCACCUCCCCGAUGUGGAGGCGGAGGGAGGGCCGAAAGACAUGUCCGUGCGCGCUCACUGCAGCUGAGAAGGCAGGAGGAAGCUCGCUGGAGCCUCUCUGACCAGCACAGGAGGCCUCACUGUCCUGCUCUCACCCCAGAAGCCCUCCCGUACACCAGGACUCUGGGGGGGUGGCAGUCCCACACCCGCCGGGCGAUGAACAUCACAAGGAGAAGAGGCUUCUACAGACAGGAGGUGAACAAAACGCUCUGGGAGCUGCCCAGGAGAUACACGUCCCUCCACCCGCUGGGGUCUGGAGCCUACGGCUCAGUGUGUUCGGCCAUAGACAAGAAGACAGGGGAGAAGGUGGCUAUCAAGAAGCUCUGCCGCCCAUUCCAGUCAGAGAUCUUUGCCAAGAGAGCAUACAGAGAGCUCAUGCUGUUGAAGCACAUGCAACAUGAGAAUGUCAUUGGGCUUCUUGAUGUCUUCACCUCUGCUGCUUCCUACCAGGGCUUUCAGGACUUCUACCUGGUGAUGCCAUACAUGCGGACAGACUUACAAAAGAUCAUGGGACAUGAAUUCAGUGAUGAAAAGAUCCAGUACCUGGUCUACCAAAUGCUGAAAGGGCUAAAGUAUAUCCAUUCAGCUGGCAUCAUACACAGGGACCUGAAGCCAGGCAACCUGGCUGUGAAUGAAGACUGUCAGCUGAAGAUCUUGGAUUUUGGUUUGGCCAGACAUGCUGAUGCUGAAAUGACCGGCUACGUGGUUACGCGCUGGUACAGAGCCCCAGAAGUCAUUCUGAACUGGAUGCAUUACAACCAGACAGUGGAUAUCUGGUCUAUUGGCUGUAUCAUGGCAGAAAUGCUGACUGGGAAAACGCUGUUUAAAGGAAAAGACUACCUGGAUCAGCUGACUCAGAUCCUGAAAGUAACGGGGCACCCAGGAGAAGACUUCGUGGAGAAGCUGGAGGACAAAGCGGCCAAGAGUUACAUCAAGUCUCUCCCUAAAAUCCCCAAGAAGGAUUUGUCUGUGCUUUUCCCCAGAGCCAAUCCUCAGGGUAAGUCAUCUCCAGGGUUUCUCAGGAGUUCUCACUGCUGGAAGGGGGCAGGUUGGCCACUACAGUGCCAGGCUUCUUUCUCCUUCUCACAAUUUCCUCGUACUUCCUCCCUUGCAGGUUGGUGUCCCUGGGCACAUAAGUAGGAAUUAAAGGCAAAAUGACUCUUUGCUGGUGUUAACAUGGCAAUGUUCUGCUGUUCUUAGCUAUUUACUUCUUUAAGUUUAAAAUGGCACAGCCUGUAACACACAAUAUUUGAGGAAGAGAGAAACUUCUGACUCAUCAACAAGCCAGAAGAGAGCUGGUGCUGGAUUGAACAGGAUGUUGAGAUUAUGGGAUGCAAGUUGUGGGAUUAGGACAGCUGCAUUAUCAGCUCCAUUUGGUAUGAGAGUUGGGAUAAAUUUUGGCCAGUAUUGGUUUGCAGAAGUUGUUCCUUGUAGCCAAGCAGGUGCUAUGUGAUCAGUAGUGUUCAGAUAAACAAACCACCUCUUCUUUGUUCAUCAUUAUUUCCCAGCUCCACAUCAAAGGCAUCAUAGUUCUGAUAAACUGUUAUUUCUAUUAACUCUAAACUGUUGAAAACCUGGAUCUGUUCACCCAAGAAGCACAAUUUUCAGGGCAAAAACUGAUCUCUUGCAAGGAACAAUUUUCCUGAGCAGAUGAGAGGCAAAACUACUGUAAGAUCUGAAAGUAUUAAGAUGUUAAAACCAAGGGGGGAUGGGGCAGACAGACUAGAGGGUAUCUGCAUUUCCUGCCUUCAUGUUUACCAGUGAUGCAUAGAUUUCUGUAUAGAUUACCCAUGUUAAGAGUGCUUGGAGUUGUGGGGGCCUAAGUGAAUGACUAAAACUGAAAACUAUCUUGAAGUUGCUGAUUUCUUACGUUCUUUCAGCCCCAUCUGUGCAGCAAGACUUAUUCAAGAUUAAAUUGAUAUUUCUGCACCAUUUACGUCUCCAGCUCUGUUAGUAAGAGCUCCCUGAGGCUGCUAUUGGGCAGACUUUGCAUCCCCUCCGAUGGGAGCUCCACACUCCCCUGGUCAGGCUGAGGAAUCUCUUUUAGCAGUGGACCUGCUUGACAAGAUGUUGCAGCUGGAUGUGGAGAAGCGCAUGACAGCCACGGAAGCGUUGGCUCACCCCUAUUUUGACCAGUUCCGAGACGUUGAGGAGGAGACAGAAG